rnacentral:sRNA from 1 species
AUAUGUGGGAGUGAUCUAGCUGCCAUAUCUCUCCCCACAGUGCUGAUGUGGCUGACUUGUUGGUCUAGGAAGGUGCCCCCUUCCUCCCUCACUAACCCGUGUACAUCCAUCCUGAAGCUGCACACUUGAUAGAAGAGGAUGACUAUCCCCAAUAGAAGAGGAUCAUUUCCUCGGUCAAGGAUAUACAAGUAGGUGUGCCAUAACAUUGGCCGGUGCAAGUCUAUAUCAGGAGGCCAAUGGGUUUGCGUGGAAAGUCUGAAGAGUCAGUGCUGGAAGACUGAAAGCUAUAUGCUGAAGAGUCUGUGCUG